rnacentral:ncRNA from 1 species
GAACUCUGGAGAAUCUCAUUUCGAUGAGUGCCGAAGGUGCAAGGCGUCAGCCGAAUCUCUCAGGCAAAAGGACAGAGGA